GGAUUUCUGGCGGGAGUGACCGGUCCGUCCUUUUUGGAUGUGUACUAGCUGUCGUCUCUUGCCAUCCUUGGGGAGAGCUGGCCUGGCAUUAGGUUGUCGGGUUAGGGAUCCCCAUCCUUUACUGUGAAAAAAUUAGAGUGUUUAAAGCAGGCUUAUGCCGUUGAAUACAUUAGCAUGGAAUAAUAAGAUAGGACCUUGGUGGUUUAUUUUGUUGGUUUGCACGCCAAGGUAAUGAUUAAUAGGGAUGGUUGGGGGUAUCCGUAUUUCGUAGUCAGAGGUGAAAUUCUUGGAUUUACGAAAGACGAACUACUGCGAAAGCAUUUACCAAGGAUGUUUUCAUUAAUCAAGAACGAAGGUUAGGGGAUCGAAGAUGAUUAGAUACCAUCGUAGUCUUAACCAUAAACUAUGCCGACUAGGGAUUGGCGGUCGUUACUGUUAUGACUCCGUCAGCACCUUAUGAGAAAUCAAAGUCUUUGGGUUCCGGGGG
rnacentral:rRNA from 1 species